GGGGUUGUGGCUCAGUGGUAGAGCACUUGCCUAGCAUGUGUGAGGUUCUGGGUUUAAUCCUCAGCACCA
rnacentral:tRNA from 1 species